GUCCUGUGGUGUACAGCACAUAAAGUUGCAAACUUUAAAGAGCAGAUAUGACUCCUGCCGGGGCUU
rnacentral:tRNA from 1 species